GACGAACGUUGGCGGCGUGCUUAACACAUGCAAGUCGAACGGAAAGGCCCUGCUUUUGUGGGGUGCUCGAGUGGCGAACGGGUGAGUAACACGUGAGUAACCUGCCCUUGACUUUGGGAUAACUUCAGGAAACUGGGGCUAAUACCGGAUAGGAGCUCCUGCUGCAUGGUGGGGGUUGGAAAGUUUCGGCGGUUGGGGAUGGACUCGCGGCUUACCAGCUUGUUGGUGGGGUAGUGGCUUACCAAGGCUUUGACGGGUAGCCGGCCUGAGAGGGUGACCGGCCACAUUGGGACUGAGAUACGGCCCAGACUCCUACGGGAGGCAGCAGUGGGGAAUAUUGCACAAUGGGUGGAAGCCUGAUGCAGCAACGCCGCGUGCGGGAUGACGGCCUUCGGGUUGUAAACCGCUUUCGCCUGUGACGAAGCGUGAGUGACGGUAAUGGGUAAAGAAGCACCGGCUAACUACGUG
rnacentral:rRNA from 1 species